rnacentral:rRNA from 1 species
GCAUAUCAAUAAGCGGANNNNNNNNNNNNNNNNNNNNNNNCCCUAGUAACUGCGAGUGAAGCGGGAAGAGCUCAAAUUUAAAAUCUGGCGGUCUUUGGCCGUCCGAGUUGUAAUUUAGAGAAGCGUCUUCCGCGCCGGACCAUGCACAAGUCUCCUGGAAUGGAGCGUCAUAGAGGGUGAGAAUCCCGUCUUUGGCAUGGACCCCCGGGGCUUCUGUGAUGCGCUCUCGAAGAGUCGAGUUGUUUGGGAAUGCAGCUCAAAAUGGGUGGUGAACUCCAUCUAAAGCUAAAUAUUGGCGAGAGACCGAUAGCGAACAAGUACCGUGAGGGAAAGAUGAAAAGCACUUUGGAAAGAGAGUGAAACAGUACGUGAAAUUGUUGAAAGGGAAACGCUUGGAGUCAGUCGCGUCGGCCGAGACUCAGCCUCGCCUCGGGCUUGGCGUACUUCUCGACCGACGGGCCAGCAUCAAUUUCGUCUCUCGGAUAAUGGCAAGGGAAAGGUGGCACCCUUUUGGGUGUGUUAUAGUCUCCUGUCGAAUGCGAGGGGUGGGAUUGAGGRACUCAGCACGCGCCCACUCGGCGUCGGGGCUUCGGCCCA